CUCCACCUAUCAGCAAUUUAUACACUGGCACUUGGCUUUCUCUAUACAUCAGGAGCCCUAUGGAGAGGUUAGAUAUAUGUGACAGGUUGAAUAUCAGGAAAAGGUUCUUUGCCAGAGAGUGGUCAGGCACUGAACAGGCUCCCCAGAGCAGUGGGCAAGGCCCCAAGCUGAUGGAGUUCAAGAAGCAUCUGAACAAUGCUCUCAGACAUAGAGUCUGAACUUUGGGUGGCCCUGUCUGGAGCCAGGAGUUGGACUGAAUGAUCCUUAUGGGUCCCUUCCAACUUGGGAUAUUCUAUGAUUCUGUGAAGAGGAGGUUGAAAAUUCCACAAGCUUGUGCCUUUCCCUUGCUUGAUUCUCACUUGAGAAAAUCACUUUCAGCUCACCUUGUGACACUUCUUAGUGUCACUGUGCAUGGUGACAGUCUUAUCCAAGUGAUCCUGACUCCCAGUCUAACUGAAAUUCAUAAAAACUGGGCUGGCUUGUUGAGCAAAAAUGCUGUAGCUACACAGCAUUCAUCAUUAAAGCACACCUGCUCUUUCAAACAAACAUUAUGAGGCAUCACCUGCCUAUGUCUCUCUAAUGAAUACCUGGUUAUACGGUAUUUUUCGCUCAGAUCAGUCCUCACAGCAAAAUGGAAGGAGGAAUAGGAAAAUGGAAGUGAACAGAAGUUGCAGAGAAAGGUGGAUUAUGCACGGCAAUGGUGCUGUUAAAAGUAAACAUCACUGGGACUACAGCUUACCUUUAUGCCAAAGCAGGUUAUCACCUGCAUGUCACUGCUGAUGCUUGUCUGGCCACACCAAGAAGUACAGAAGCUAAACAUGCAGGAAAUUGCUACUCCCCCUUCCUCCCCACAAAAGAAAUAGAGAGAGAAGGAGAGAGAGAAACAGAGAGAGAAACAGAAAGAAAGAAGUGAGUGGGGAGCAGUUUUCAUCUGGUGUAAGUCUCUGAAAUGGCUUAUCACGAGGUCAGCUGAAAGCCAAGGCACGCACAAUGGAAGGAGUGGAGCUGAAGGGCUAGAGCACAGGAAUGCAGGGAGCAAAGGACUGACACAGUGGAACCCAGCCUGGAUGAAACUUCUGGGGAGCUGCAGCCAGAGAAACAUCUGUCUCUGGAACUGACAGAUGUAAAAUUCACCAGCCUUGUUACUGAUGCCUGGUCAAUUGGUUGGUCGGAGGAUAGAUAUGAGAAACACAAACUGCACGGUACUUUUAAAACAUACAGGCUGUGUUAAGUUCCCAGCUUCACAGCACACCGGACGUUCAAACAGUCUGGAUCCUAUUUAGCAAACAUUGUAGAACGUAUUCAGUUAAUAAAAGCUUGGCAAAUAUUAGUAAAAGGCUUGUAAUGGCUGGGAGUGAUGUAAAGGUUAAAAGCUUUGAUAGCAUCGUACCAAGCCCGGAUGAAGCUUGAAGGAACCAAAAUGAUGGGCCAAUGAGAAAUCUCAGUGCUGAUGAGGACAUGAUGAAAUAUUCAUUUGUUGGAAUCAGGAAAAG
ensembl:lncRNA